rnacentral:lncRNA from 1 species
GGGGCAUGAUACAAUGUCAUCCACUGACAUUCUACCAAGAUCUUUUAGUUUUUUUAUUUGACCAUACUUUAGUCUAAUAGUGUUCAAAUGGUUAAGCACAUCUCAAUCACACCAAUCCUAAGAAAGGCUUUAUUAGUUGCCUUUACUGCCACAGCGAUCGCAGGAUUCUUAAAACCCAUAUCGACAUUGAGACCUAGUUUAACUUGCUCAAUUAUGAACA